GAUGACUCUCUAGCUUGCUAGAGAUGAUUAGUGGCGGGCGGGUGAGUAACAUUUAGGAAUCUACCUAGUAGUGGGGGAUAGCUCGGGGAAACUCGAAUUAAUACCGCAUACGACCUACGGGUGAAAGGGGGCGCAAGCUCUUGCUAUUAGAUGAGCCUAAAUCAGAUUAGCUGGUUGGUGGGGUAAAGGCCCACCAAGGCGACGAUCUGUAACUGGUCUGAGAGGAUGAUCAGUCACACCGGAACUGAGACACGGUCCGGACUCCUACGGGAGGCAGCAGUGGGGAAUAUUGGACAAUGGGGGCAACCCUGAUCCAGCCAUGCCGCGUGUGUGAAGAAGGCCUUUUGGUUGUAAAGCACUUUAAGCAGGGAGGAGAGGCUAAUGGUUAAUACCCAUUAGAUUAGACGUUACCUGCAGAAUAAGCACCGGCUAACUCUGUGCCAGCAGCCGCGGUAAUACAGAGGGUGCGAGCGUUAAUCGGAAUUACUGGGCGUAAAGCGAGUGUAGGUGGCUCAUUAAGUCACAUGUGAAAUCCCCGGGCUUAACCUGGGAACUGCAUGUGAUACUGGUGGUGCUAGAAUAUGUGAGAGGGAAGUAGAAUUCCAGGUGUAGCGGUGAAAUGCGUAGAGAUCUGGAGGAAUACCGAUGGCGAAGGCAGCUUCCUGGCAUAAUAUUGACACUGAGAUUCGAAAGCGUGGGU
rnacentral:rRNA from 1 species